rnacentral:rRNA from 1 species
AUAGCGUAUAUUAAAGUUGCUGCAGUUAAAAAGCUCGUAGUUGGAUUUCUGGGCUCAAGAAUUUGGCCGGCCACGGUUUCGUGUGUUAGUGCUUUGUUCUGUGUCCAUCCUUCCAAUCGCUAUUGGCUCUUCUUCAUUGAUUGGUCAGUAGUAUUGGAUCUUUUACUUUGAAAAAAUUAGAGUGUUUCAAGCAGGCUUUAUGCUAUGAAUACAUUAGCAUGGAAUAAUAAUUUAGGACUUCGGUUCUAUUUUGUUGGUUUCUAGGACUGAAGUAAUGAUUGAUAGGGAUAGUUGGGGGUGCUAGUAUUCAGCGGCCAGAGGUGAAAUUCUCGGAUUCGCUGAAGACUAACUUAUG